rnacentral:rRNA from 1 species
AGUGAACGCUGGCGGUAGGCCUAACACAUGCAAGUCGAACGGCAGCACAGUAAGAGCUUGCUCUUACGGGUGGCGAGUGGCGGACGGGUGAGGAAUACAUCGGAAUCUACUUUUUCGUGGGGGAUAACGUAGGGAAACUUACGCUAAUACCGCAUACGACCUACGGGUGAAAGCAGGGGAUCUUCGGACCUUUCGCGAUUGAAUGAGCCGAUGUCGGAUUAGCUAGUUGGCGUGGUAAAGGCCCACCAAGGCGACGAUCCGUAGCUGGUCUGAGAGGAUGAUCAGACACACUGGAACUGAGACACGGUACAGACUCCUACGGGAGGCAGCAGUGGGGAAUAUUGGACAAUGGGCGCAAGCCUGAUCCAGCAAUACCGCGUGGGUGAAGAAGGCCUUCGGGUUGUAAAGCCCUUUUGUUGGGAAAGAAAAGCAGCAGGUUAAUACCCCGCUGUUCUGACGGUACCCAAAGAAUAAGCACCGGCUAACUUCGUG